rnacentral:rRNA from 1 species
AUUGAACGCUGGCGGCAGGCCUAACACAUGCAAGUCGAGCGGAUGAAGGGAGCUUGCUCCUGGAUUCAGCGGCGGACGGGUGAGUAAUGCCUAGGAAUCUGCCUGGUAGUGGGGGAUAACGUCCGGAAACGGGCGCUAAUACCGCAUACGUCCUGAGGGAGAAAGUGGGGGAUCUUCGGACCUCACGCUAUCAGAUGAGCCUAGGUCGGAUUAGCUAGUUGGUGGGGUAAAGGCCUACCAAGGCGACGAUCCGUAACUGGUCUGAGAGGAUGAUCAGUCACCCUGGAACUGAGACACGGCCCAGACCCCUACGGGAGGCAGCAGUGGGGAAUAUUGGACAAUGGGCGAAAGCCUGAUCCAGCCAUGCCGCGUGUGUGAAGAAGGUCUUCGGAUUGUAAAGCACUUUAAGUUGGGAGGAAGGGCAGUAAGUUAAUACCUCGCUGUUUUGACGUUACCAACAGAAUAAGCACCGGCUAACUUCUU